rnacentral:rRNA from 1 species
GAUGAACGCUGGCGGCGUGCCUAAUACAUGCAAGUCGAGCGAACAGACGAGGAGCUUGCUCCUCUGACGUUAGCGGCGGACGGGUGAGUAACACGUGGAUAACCUACCUAUAAGACUGGGAUAACUUCGGGAAACCGGAGCUAAUACCGGAUAAUAUAUUGAACCGCAUGGUUCAAUAGUGAAAGACGGUUUUGCUGUCACUUAUAGAUGGAUCCGCGCCGCAUUAGCUAGUUGGUAAGGUAACGGCUUACCAAGGCAACGAUGCGUAGCCGACCUGAGAGGGUGAGCGGCCACACUGGAACUGAGACACGGUCCAGACUCCUACGGGAGGCAGCAGUAGGGAAUCUUCCGCAAUGGGCGAAAGCCUGACGGAGCAACGCCGCGUGAGUGAUGAAGGUCUUCGGAUCGUAAAACUCUGUUAUUAGGGAAGAACAAAUGUGUAAGUAACUAUGCACGUCUUGACGGUACCUAAUCAGAAAGCCACGGCUAACUACGUGC